ACCCAAAUCUGAAAUUAGUGACACCUACAGGCAGCUGAUGGUAUCCAAAAUUGAACAAGCUUUAGAAAAGUCGGAAAAAAAUUGGCCAAUUUCGAGCAGUGAAAUAGAAAACACUUUAUUUGUUAAGUCUAAAAAUGCUGCUAACAGCAUUCUUCAACUCGUCAAGUAUGUGAAUGAUUGGGGUAAGUCUUUCAUUGCACGAUGUACAGUCAACUUCAGGUCAGUGGUAAUAGUUUCAUAGGAAACGCGUACUUAUUACUAUUGAGUUAAGGUGCAUGACAGUUACCACUAAUGUGCAGUUUACUGUACCUACCUACGAUGCGAAUUUGAUCGUUUGUUUCCGCGGGAAAUCCGAAUAAAAGAAUAACGACUGAAUUUCAUUGUUUUAACCAACUUCAAAAAACAGAGGUCCUCAGUUGGACCUGUAUGUCUGUGAAUUUUUGUACACGUUGGCUGAACCGAUUUUUAUGUAAUUUCACUCGGUGCUUUCUCGAAACUUCUUGAAAGAUAUUGCUGUACAUAAUUAGUACUAAACAAGCUAACAAACACAUUCGCUUAAAAUGUCUUAAAAAUGAAUAGUCUUAUCUCAGAUCUUAGAUUGACUGAUGUGGCGUUUAUUUUUAUUUCAGCUCCCAAGGACGAAAAAUAAUAUCCUACAAUUACUCAUCAUCAUCAGCCUAUCGCAGUCCACUGCUGGACAUAGGCCUCUCCAUGUGCACGCCACUGAGAUCGAUUUUCGGCUUAACAAUUACUCAUUACAAAAUAAUUGUUUUUCCAUGAAGCAAGAGAAUAAAAUAUAGAUCGUGUUUAACUUUUUUGGUGUAACUACAUACUUAGACAUAAUAAUUACAGUAUUAUGUUUUACACUAA
rnacentral:lncRNA from 1 species